UACGAAGGGGCUAGCGUUGCUCGGAAUUACUGGGCGUAAAGCGCACGUAGGCGGCUUUCUAAGUCGGGGGUGAAAUCCUGGAGCUCAACUCCAGAACUGCCUUCGAUACUGGAGAGCUCGAGUCCGGGGAGAGGUGAGUGGAACUGCGAGUGUAGAGGUGAAAUUCGUAGAUAUUCGCAAGAACACCAGUGGCGAAGGCGGCUCACUGGCCCGGUACUGACGCUGAGGUGCGAAAGCGUGGGGAGCAAACAGG
rnacentral:rRNA from 1 species